AAACUUUUUCGCCAAAGCAAUUGGCGGUGUUUAAACAAAAGCUAUUGUAAAGGUGGGUUGACACGAUCAAAGUACUUUGAUCAAAGUAAGCGCGCGCAUUCACCAGUAGGGAAAUAUUUUUAGGGAAAUGUGACGAUUUAGAAGAAGUUGUUUUUGUUUACAGGGAAUAUGUUUAUUUAGAACCUUUUUUUCAAGAAAUCUGGAUGUACUAAUAGGAUUUGAAAACUUCUCUAUAUUAUCGGGUUGACAGAAUUUAUUCUUCGUCUCCUCUUCUGCAAUUUAAAAUAACCUGUAUUAUAUCACAGACGGAAAUAAUUACAAGCU